rnacentral:rRNA from 1 species
UACGUAGGGUGCAAGCGUUAAUCGGAAUUACUGGGCGUAAAGCGUGCGCAGGCGGUGAUGUAAGACAGUUGUGAAAUCCCCGGGCUCAACCUGGGAAUUGCAUCUGUGACUGCAUCGCUAGAGUACGGUAGAGGGGGAUGGAAUUCCGCGUGUAGCAGUGAAAUGCGUAGAUAUGCGGAGGAACACCGAUGGCGAAGGCAAUCCCCUGGACCUGUACUGACGCUCAUGCACGAAAGCGUGGGGAGCCAAA